rnacentral:antisense_RNA from 1 species
UGUGGGAGCGGGCUUGCCCGCGAUAGCGCAGGUUACCGCAAACACUUCUUUGCCUGACACGCCGCCAUCGCGGGCAAGCCCGCUCCCACA